rnacentral:rRNA from 1 species
GAUGAACGCUGGCGGCGUGCCUAAUACAUGCAAGUCGAGCGAACGGACGCGAAGCUUGCUUCUCUGAUGUUAGCGGCGGACGGGUGAGUAACACGUGGAUAACCUACCUAUAAGACUGGGAUAACUUCGGGAAACCGGAGCUAAUACCGGGUAAUAUUUUGAACCGCAUGGUUCAAAAGUUAAAGACGGUCUUGCUGUCCCUUAUAGAUGGAUCCGCGCUGCAUUAGCUAGUUGGUAAGGUAACGGCUUACCAAGGCAACGAUGCAUAGCCGACCUGAGAGGGUGAUCGGCCACACUGGAACUGAGACACGGUCCAGACUCCUACGGGAGGCAGCAGUAGGGAAUCUUCCGCAAAGGGCGAAAGCCUGACGGAGCAACGCCGCGUGAGUGAUGAAGGUCUUCGGAUCGUAAAACUCUGUUAUUAUGGAAGAACAUAUGUGUAAGUAACUGUGCACAUCUUGACGGUACCUAAUCAGAAAGCCACGGCUAACUACGUG